rnacentral:lncRNA from 1 species
AACGGUAAAAAGCAAGUGGGAUACGCUGCCGCGUGGCGACGCGAUGAACACGUGCGGGCUGUGGCCACGGAAGCGGGUAGCCGGGGACAGUGAAUUCCUGUGUUCGUGUUACGAUCUGGGCUCGAUGACUCGAUCUUUGUUUGAUCGCCACGCCACAACACGAUAUCGAUGGGGCAUCGGGCCUCUGUCCGGGUACGCAGGCGAGAAGCAUGCAUGAAUUCUUCAAGACUCCAACUCGAUUCAAGGAAAACUGACAGUAACGAGUAUUGACAGCUCGUCUUGAUGACUUGAUGUUAAAGAAAAAAAAAAGACAUAUUCAUAUUUUUGGUGGUCAAAUCGGGGCAUUAGGACGAGGAGAGAAAGCAGGGAUAUCACCGCCCGUGGUUACUAAUUAAGAGGUGUAAUAGAACAUUAAUUAGCAUGUACUUGGUUUUUUUUCCUUGAGAAAAGGCUAGGCUCAGAAGACCAUAACUGCCGAUCGGCAUCAAUAGAUCGAUAAUCCUGUCCCUGUGGCUAAAAAAUACGCAUUUGGCUCCGUCACGGGAAAAAAAAAAUCCGAAAUCAUGGCUAGGUUCAUCUCGUCGAGUUGGUCGGAAGCGACUAUAUGGUUGAUCGGA